CCGAGGCACAAAUGAAGUCCUCGUUAUUGGAUUGCACAUGGUUGAAAAAUGAGUAUAGAUCCUUAAUCUUGAAAGUACUGGGAAUUUUUAAUGAAGCUCAAAGAACUGAGGAGCACUUUAUUCCUUUUCUCCUUUAUUUAUUUUAUUUUAUUCUUUUUCUUUUUUUCUUUCUUUCUUUUUCCACAUUUUUUCUUUUUGCUCCUCAGGACUUCUUGCAACAAAGUCCUUUUCUCAGCAGUAGUCAGAGAUAAUGCGAUGAGUCCUUCCCCUAUACUUAGACAAUACUCGUCCUCGAGCACGAAAAAGGAAGAAAGAUAAACUGGUGAGGUACGUACCAAAAUAUUCAAUCUUCACCAAAAAUUAUUUUAUUCCUUUGGAGGGUUAUCCACACAAAAAUUCAGAGCGUUUAGGGGUGAAAAC
rnacentral:lncRNA from 1 species